UAGAAACAAACUUCUUUUCUUGGGGAAAUGGCAGGGAAGAGUUUUACACAGGGUUCUAUAUUAACAGUGUUGGAGGUCUCAGCACCAUAGGAGAAGAUGGAAAAUCUCUCCCACACAAGACUCACCACAGGUAUAAUGCAGAAAUCGGCCAUCAUCGGGAGGAGGCGUAGGAAUGAUGAGAAACCCCACCUAUGAAGCCCAGGCAUACGGGACCUAAGACACACUGGACCAGGACAGAAGAGGACUGCCUCUGUCCUCUGUCCAUCAGCCAGCAAACAGAAUCUGAAAACCAUGAAGGUUAAGUAACUUCACCAACGUGCCACACCUGCUGAGUAGUGAGUUACUCUUCAAACUCGUGAUGUCCGGCUCCAAAGCCUCAGUUUCUUCCAUUAAACCAUCGUAUUAGGAGGUGUGAAAAUGAGACAGCUACAAGUAUGUUUAAAAUUACAAGUAAUAAUAUUACAUUUGCAACAAGAGCGUUCAACAGAACAGGUUAUGUUUUAUGCUUAAUAAAUUUGAGGUUUAAAUAGAGAAAAAAAUGUGUACAUAUAAGUUACUCGUGUGAUUGCAGAAGGAGGUGUUUAAAUUUGUUUACCUAGUCAAAUUUAUGGGAAGACCGUCAUUCAAGGAGUGUCUUAAAAACAGGCAAGCAAAAAUACAUAUGGGGAGUCUAAAGAGAUCUGAUGUGGCUCAUAAAUGUCAACUGCAGAGCCUCUUCUUGUUCUUCUGAAAAAUGUAAUAUGUUAAAGAUAUACCUAAUUUAUUUCCAUUAAGGAGUUUAUGCCCUGGAAGAAGUUCAGUCUUAAGGUCCAUUUUCACUUACUCAAAUUAGAUGGAUUGGAGCAUUACACACAUUACAAGAAAAUUUCUGGAGAUUGGAAGUCUGAGAUCAGAUGCCAGCAUGGUUGGGUUCUGGUGACAGCUCUCAUCGUGGUUUGCAAACACCUGUCUUCAUGUUGUAGCCUCACUUCAUGGAGAGAGAGAGUUCUGGUAUAUUGUAAAAAUCUACUCACACAAAUACUAAGCAAAAAAGAUAAGGAACUUGUUAAUCAUGUGGAUUGCAGGGUUUCAUGAAAUCUAAUAAAGUGAUUUUGGAUAACUAAUACAACCAAUGCAAAGCAAUCUACAAGUGAAGACACAAGCAGAGUGAGCGUGGUUAAUGACUGAAGAAGAGAAAUGGAAAAGAAAAGAAAAAAAGAUCUUUCAAGAGAGAAUAAUUUUGAAUAUCAAACAAUGAAGAGCUUUUCAGAAUUUUGAUGAAGAAAAUCCUUGAAAAUUCUUGCAAAAAUGAUACCCCUCCCUUUUAGACUGUUCAUUCAAAAUAUAGUGCUAUCAUUUAAUUUUGCCCAAAAAAUUACCCCCAAGUUAAUACAAUUCAUUCUUUUUAAUUCUAAAAAUUAGCUUAUACUUAUAAUUACAACCAAAAAUACGACAGUUAAAUAACGCUUUUUUAUAAUUUUUCGCUGUAUAUUUCAAAUCAGCCAGUUGGACCAAUCAAGUAUUGUCAAUGUUCAUUAUAAAGUUUUCACCCCACCUUUGGAAACCUCUCUAAAGGUGACUUUUUCUGUACCAAGUGUCCUUCAACAAAGAGGAACCUCCUGGAUCUCAGUGAUUAUGAGGGACACGACCUGGCAAAGGCCUUGUGACUGUUCUGAGAUUCAGUUAUACACUUAUAAAAUCACUGUGUUCUGUUUAAUUAUACUCAUGAAGAAAUACGAACUAUAAAUAUAACUAUAAAAAUAAAUAUAAACUAUAAAUUCCCUAUAAGCUCUAAGAUUGUUAUUGCACAUUUCAAUUUCUUAUAAUGAGUAUCUUAGAUCACUUUCAGGAAACAAGAAAUGUGUCAUUUUGGAAACUUUUGCUUUGUUAAUAUAUUUUUUAAUGCUUUAAGGUUUAAAAAUCAGCUAUCUGAAAAAAACCUCUUGUCUCAUUCCCUCACUAUGUCAGAUGCAUGAUAUGAAGAUUUUUCCAAUUAAAAAAUCCCAAAACACGUUUUCACAUUGUGGAAAACUUGGAAAAUGACAAAUAGGCAAAAUGGAGGAAAAAACUCAUUAUCUUUAUACCCUAAAACAAAGAUGUUUAAGAUUUUAUCACUAUUCCUCUAAUCUUCCAUGUGUAAAUUAUAUCUGAGACACGUUCCCAAGACAUUGACAGCCUUUUAUAAUCAUUUAAUCACAGAUGCAUGUAACAUUCUUUACUAAAUAUUCUUCCCCUUAGAUAUUU